rnacentral:rRNA from 1 species
GAUGAACGCUGGCGGCGUGCCUAAUACAUGCAAGUCGAGCGAACGGACGAGAAGCUUGCUUCUCUGAUGUUAGCGGCGGACGGGUGAGUAACACGUGGAUAACCUACCUAUAAGACUGGGAUAACUUCGGGAAACCGGGUCUAAUACCGGAUAAUAUUUUGAACCGCAUGGUUCAAAAGUGAAAGACGGUCUUUCUGUCACUUAUAGAUGGAUCCGCGCUGCAUUAGCUAGUUGGUAAGGUAACGGCUUACCAAGGCAACGAUGCAUAGCCGACCUGAGAGGGUGAUCGGCCACACUGGAACUGAGACACGGUCCAGACUCCUACGGGAGGCAGCAGUAGGGAAUCUUCCGCAAUGGGCCAAAGCCUGACGGAGCAACGCCGCGUGAGUGCUGAAGGUCUUAGGCUCGUAAAACUCUGUUAUUCGGGAAGAACAUAUGUGUAAGUAACUGUGCACAUCUUGACGGUACCUAAUCAGAAAGCCACGGCUAACUCCGUG